rnacentral:lncRNA from 1 species
UGAAGUUGGCAUCAGCCUCAAUAAACAAGACUCCUUCAGCAUUGCAUUCCACCAUAAGCUUGCGGUUGUAACCUUCUUUAAGCCUGCCAGCUAAAGGGUAGUAAAACACAAGUGCUUUACUUAUUGCUUCUCUAAUGACCUUAACAGGGUCUCUUCCUUGCAUUGAAGGUGAAGGGUCAUUCUUGUAAAAGAAUAUUACUGGUACACGAAACCUUAGGCUUUCUUGGUCAUCUAUAUCUGAAAGUUGCUUCACUUCUCGUGGUGUUGGCCUCGCCGGAACAAUUAGUUCCGGUGCCUGCCGAGUAACCGACAGAACUUGGGAAAAUUUUGAUACCAUUGGUUAGGGAGUAUGAGUUUCUUGAGGUAGAUAUGUAAUUGGUUGCCUCAACGGUGCAUGCUUCAUCCUUCAUUUAUAGUAGUGAGCAGUAACAGGACGAUAGAACAGAAGACACACGUCAACACGAAAGCCUCUGUCAAAUCACCGUGCUAAAACGAGUAAUUUUAAUUUUUCACGGGUCUAUAUAAUUGGGAAAAUGCUACUUGCCCCGAGUCAAAUCCCGGGUCAAACCCCGAAUUUAAAACGGCUCCGUUUUACUAAGCAAAAGAAUGCACUGUUUGAGCCAAAAUUGUUUUCCCUUUCCUUCGUUGAUUGAGGUCAACUCCAGCCAUUAUUGUCCUGAAAUCAAGUCUUCGCGCAUACCCAACCACCCCACUGCCACCACCGACAGCCACCACCGUUUCAUUUGUACACCGGAGAUAAUCACCCACAACUCUAGUCCCGAUUGUGUUUGUGUUUGUGCAUUUCUGUUUGUGUUUGUUUGAAAUUUGGUCAAAAUUUUUAUACAAUAUCCAUCAACACAAAGCUAAUCAAUCACCACCGAAUGAGGAAAAAAAACAUGAUAUCUUGGUCGAUGUGUGAUCUGUAGAGAUUUUUAAAUUUUUUGGCUCUUUAUCAUUAUCCGUGAAUUUUGUGAUAUGGGUUUGUGGCAGUGAUUGAAGGGUUUUAAUUUCAUAUUAAACAUAUAUGUUUCAUUUUGUAUGUUGAAGCUCAUCUUUUUAAGGGGAUAAGAUCUUUGACCUAGGUAUAAUAUGUAAUUGCUUAAAAGUAGAUGAGUUGUGAAAUCCAUUUGUUACGUCAUAAGAUGAAGAAAUACAGGAAGAUGAGGAUCCUAUACUGGAAGAUGUAAUUGGAGUAGUUUAAGAAUGGAAAAAAGGCAGCAUUCCAAGUGAAGUCUAUAAUGAUGAAAUUAUGGCUGUGGAAGUACUCAAGGAUGAAAAUUCAAAGAUGAGAAAGUAUAUUGCUAGAAUAACAAUUAAGGGACAGCUGGGAAGCAAGGAAACCAAAAAUGAAAAGUGAUAGAGAAACAGCAGAUGAAAGAGACAGGCAAAGGAAAAGGAAAAGAAUUGUUACUGUCGAAACGGCGUCAUUUUACUAAUUUUUCGGGGCUUGACCCGGGGUUUGACCCGGGGUAAAUAGCAGAACUCAUAUAAUUGGGAUCAAAGUAAUAAUUGAUAUUUUAAAAUUUUAAAUGAUAUAUUAUUUAUUAAAUAAUUGAUAAUUUUUUAUAAAAUUUUAGUGAAUUAAUUAUAUCAUUUUACUAACAAAUUAAUAAAUAGGGAGUCCCUAUAUUACAUUUAAUGUAACAUACACAACCCACAAGAACCACACAAAUUAUAGGACCCACAUAAUUAUGUGGUUCUUGUGAAUUGUGUAUGUUACAUUAAAUGUAACAUAGCAAAAUUCUAAUAAAUAUUAUUUUAUUUAAAAUAUAAAAUUUAAAAUACGUACUGCUCCUAUUAAGAUAAGGAUUGGAUAGGCUCCGCGCAACGUGCAUCAUACUCUAUAUUGUGAAAAACAUGUGAUGAAUUGGAGAUCACGUUCCUCGCAAGUUUAACUGAAGUAGACAGAUGACGACAUGAGUGCAAGGGUAGGAUUGAUUGGAUGGAAAAGGGUGGACACAGUGAUUAAUUCUCCAACUAUCAUUUCUCUGAUUGUGCAGGUUACAUUCCCCUUAGCUUGAAUUGUGAAAUCAAGUUCCAGCCGCGUAUGCAAUGAAGAGACCACAAGUGCAAGGGACCAUCAUUAAUCUGGCCAUCUUCUAAUAAACAUGUUUAAAGGAGAAUGCAGACAUCUUCUAAUAAAACAUGUUUUAUUUCCGAGUAAACUAUAAAUGUAAUAAUGAUUAUAAUUAAGCUUUGGGUGUUGUUGCAAAUCGGCAAAUAUACUCUUUCAUGCGAUUGAUAGUUGAUUGGUGCUUUGUUCCUCAAGCAUUUGCCGUCUCAAAGUAAAUCUGGCUGUCAUUUUGCUUUUUGUGAGAAUGCAUAUAAUACAAUGAAACUAAGCAGCAUUUAACAAAUCAACAAAUGGAAAAAGUAAGGUUGGGAUGCAUGUCAAUUUUGUUUUUUUUUUAAUUUUUGUUUAGAGGUAUUACAGCAUUUUGAUAUAUUACAAUUUAAGAUCUAUUGAAAAUAAUUUCUAAUAUAUAUAAUUCUAUCAUCUAUCCAACGUAGUUUAAAAAUUUGCUACCACUGACAACUAGAGAGAAAUCAACCAUAUUCUACAUUUAAUUUUGUAGUAAGAAAAGAGAACCCUAUGACAGCUCGAUCUAAUUUUUAUUAAUGUAUAUAUAUGGGUGCUUUUUUUUGUCAAUCUGAGAGUUUUGGAUUAAAAAUUACAAGGCCACCAUUUGUCUAUGUAUGGUAGGUUUCAUCAUAUGCAGUCCCUAUAUUUUAAGAUUAGUAUCCAUUUAGUUCCUAUAUUUUUUAAAAUGCCUCGAAACAUUCCUGCCGUUAAAGUAUUGAUACAUCUACUGUUACUUUUAAUUUCUUUUGGCUUACUUUUACAAUAUUACCAUUUUAUAAUUUUUUUUUGUUUGGACAUUAAUAAAAAGAAAAUAAUUAAAUUACCAAUUUAACCCUAAAAAAUAAAAAAUUAUAUUAAUUUUUAGGGAUAUUAUCAUUUUCCCACCAAAGGUAUUCUGACACAUCAUGUCAGUACCACGAUUUGGUAAAACUAUCAAUUUACCACCAAACGUUUAAACUGUUAGCAUUUUCCCACCAUUCCGUUAAAACUCCGUUAAUAUGUAACAGAAAAUUCAUAAAAGGUCAAUUUUACCCCUGAAGUGUAAAAGACCAUGUAAUUAACCUUUUAUGAAUUUUGUAAUUAAAUUAUCAUUUGUUGUUCUUCCUUCUUAAAGGACAAAAAUUACCCCUUAUAAAUUUUAUAAAAUUGACCGUGUGGUGUUAAGUACUUUUAUAAAUUGAUUUAAUUUAUUUAAUUUUUAAAGGUCAAAUUUAUUUAUUAAAUUGCCGAGCUAAAGACAAUUUAUUCUACUACUAAACAUCAAUUUAUGAAAGGGAAAAAAAAAAGAAUGUGCAAAAGAAGCAAUUUAAUCUUUGAUAUGAUGAUAAUAAUUUUACACAAAAAAUUAAAUAAAUAAAUUUGCCCUUUAAAAAUUAAAUAAAUUAAAUCAAUUUAUGAAGUACCUAGCACCUCAUGGUCAAUUUUACAAAAUUUUAUAAAGGGUAAUUUUUGUCCUUUAAGAAUGAAGAACAACAAAUGAUGAUUUAAUUACAAAAUUCAUAAAAGGUUAAUUACAUGGUUUUUUUAUACUCCAGGGGUAAAAUUGACCUUUUAGGAAUUUUCCGUUACAUAUUAAAUGAGUUUUAACGGAAUGGUGGGAAAAUGCUAACAGUUUAAACGUUUGGUGGUAAAUUGAUAGUUUUACCAAACCGUGGUACUGACAUGAUGUGUCAGAAUACCUUAGGUGGAAAAAUGAUAAUAUCCCUAAUUUUUAAUUGUCAAAAAUUAAAUUGUUACUUUUUUAUUUCUUGAUGAGGUAUUUGAAAAUUCCAACUUAUUUUUUUUUUUAAGUUAUUCUGCUGUACCGUACAUCCGUGUAUGCAAACUACCAAGUGUGCAAAUGGUGCUUGCAAAAAGCAUUAAACAAUUGUUGAUAAGUAGCAUCCUUAAUGCAUUUAUUACAUGCCUAAAGCAUUGACUAAUAAUAAAAAAUAAUCUUCUCAUAUUAUUGCAUAACAAAAUAAAACUAAAGGAUUAUUUCUUGACUGGAAAUUCAUUGCAAUAAAAAGACUUUGCUUACAGCAGUUACAAAAGAAAAAAAGUUAUGAUGAAUAUAGAAGAAAUUAAAUUCUCUUUUAAAUUAUUGAACGAAAGAGACACUCUUAUUUCUAUCAGAAUAACUUAUUCAAUGUUUACCAUGAACAAGACCAUUAGAUUGAUUUUCGGCAAUGAGUUACUAUCUUACUACAAGAAUUAUCAAAUCAUAUUUUCCUCUUUUCUUUUACACCCAAAAUCUACCUAAAACACAAAUGACAUGUGAUACUCAUUUUCUGAUACUGUAAUCAAAUGGAAAAUUAUCAGCACAAAUCAAUACGAGUGCCUCUAUUACUUUCAAUAAUAAUAAUAAUAAUAAUUUAAAAUUGGGGGAACUAUCGAACCAUAUUAGUAAACGUUAAAAAUGUGUAAUUUCAUCAUCAUGUGUAUGUAUAAUGUAUGUUCAAUGAAUCAAAUUUCCAACACGUAUGCAUUAGAGACCACAAUUUUGUGAAAGUGUACCCACACUUGAUGUGAUGUUCUAGUAUAGAGAUGUCAAAUAGAUGAGGAUUUCAAUGAGCGAUUUUUGUUGCGGAAGUGCCGAUUGAGCAAUUAUCAAUAAUUCAAUAUUAUGGUGAUUGUAACUUUUGGAGAAAUGCAAAUAUAGUGAUAAACAACUGCAAAGAAAAGAGGACACAAUAAUUUUUGUGGUUUGGCUUAAAGCCUGCAUCCGCUAAUAAAGAUUGGAAAAUAAUUUUUCUAAUAAAUGGGAGUUAUAAAAUUGAGAGUUACUCUCAAAACCUAAUAACCUAGUACAUCUAAAUGGUGGAAAUGCUGUAAGAGCUUACUUGCAAAUGCUCUUAACUCUCACAAUUUAGGAUACUUUACUCUCUCCAAAUUAAUCUCUGUUUGUAUGGUGUGUUUACUUACUGUAGUGCGAGUGAGAAGUGUGAAAUCCUCAAACUCUAGUGUUUACAUGCUUAUUUAAGAGUGUGAGUGGAAUCUCACUCUAUGGGUCCUACUUUUAGAGUGAGGAUUGAAACUCUAACUCCCAUGAGGGGAGGUGGGAUUGAGAACCACUCAAUCCUCUUCCUUUUUUAUCAUUCCUUUUUAAAAUAACAUAAUUAUAUUUAUUAAAAUAAAAUAUAAUUAUAUUUAUUAAAAUAAAAUAAUAUUACAUUUAUUUAAAAAUAAUAAUAUAAUAUUCAUAGAGAAUUAAUAAUAUUACUAUACAGUAUCUUUAUUUGAAAAAUAAUAUUAAUAUAUUUAUUUAAUUUGAGAUUUUUGAAACUCCAAUGUUGAGAUUUUUGACAUUUUUAAUUAGAUAAAUAUAAUUUACUUUAUAGCUGGUGAAAUCAGAGAAUAGCCAAAACGAAUUUAUAUCUUUGUAUGCAGCCCUUCAAACUUGAAUAGAUUUUUGCAAUCUACAAGCAUAAGAAAAGUUAGCACAAACGAAACCCUAUUGAACCAAAUGACUGGAAGUAUUUGUGAUGACAAUAGCAGCAUCGAUGAAGCGGAUGCUAAUCUUGGUUUGUAGCAAUGAAGGCGAAAAUCUGAAAUUUUUUAAAAUUCAUUUAACCCAUUUGCAUCCAACUAAAGUUUUGUUUAGAAGAGGCAAUCAAAACUUUUGCAUUACACAAUAGAAAACAGUGGAGUAGAAUUAUAAAUGUAAUCAUGAUUACAAUAAGCUUUGGGUGUAGCUGCAAAUUCUUUAGAGUGCAAUAGCCAACAAAUAUACUCUUUUAUGGGAUUGACAGUUGAUUGGUGCUUCGUUCAGAUGCCGUUAUAAAUUAAAUCUUUCUGUCAUUUUCUUUUUGUGAGAAAUUAAGCAACAUAUAACAAAUCAACAAAUGGAAAAAGUAAGGUUGGGAUGCAUCUCAAUUUUUUUGCUUUUUUUUUUUUUUUGUUUUUUGGAAGUAAUACAACAUGCUAACAUAUUACAAUUUAAGAACUAUUGAGAAUAAUUUGUAAUAUAUGUAAUUCUACCAUCUAUUCAACAUAAAUUGAAAAUCUGCUCCCACAAACAAAUAGAGAGAAAUUUAUCAUAUUCUACAUUUUAUGGUAAGGAAAGAGAACCAACUAAUAGCUCGACCAAAUUUUUAUUACUGUGUGUGUGUGUAUAUCUAUAUAUGCUUUUUCAAUCCGAGAGUUCUGGAUUAACAGUUUUGGAUUAAAAAUUCGAAGGCCACCAUUUGUCUAUGUAUGGUAGCCUCCAUCAUUUGCAGUCAAUAAAGGGGCUUGGGAAUCUAACAGCCCCAAAUCCAAUGAGGUAUUUGAAAAUUCCAACUUAUUUUUUUUUUUAAGUUAUUGCAUACCAAUUGGUGGACAUCAUUUUAUUUUGGAUAUUUUGGAUACUUUUUCAAUCUAACAUUUCUGAAUUGAAAAACUACUCACACACACGCAUGCAUACACACACCCGCCCGCGCACAAACACACAAACACGUACACUGAUCAGAUCUCUAGCAUUAACCAAUUGUUUUUAAGUAGCAUCUUUAUUAGAGGCCUAAAGCAUCGACUGAAUAAAAAAGAAUCUUCUCAUACUAUUGCAUAACAAAAUAAAACUAAAGGAUUAUUUCUUGACUGGACAUUCAUGGCAAGAAAAAGACUUUUCUUUCAUUGGUUAAAAAAAAUUAUGAUGAAUAUAGAAGACAUUAGAUUCUCGUUUAAAUUAUUGAACGAAAGAGAUAUUCUUAUUAAAAGAGAUUAUUAUUUCUACCGAAGGAAUUUAUGGAAUGUUUACUAUGAACAAGACCUUUAGCUUGAUAUUCGGUAAUGGGUUACUAUCUUACUACAAGAAUUAUUAAAUUAUAACAUUUUAUUAUAUUAACUAUAAAAAGAUAACAAUUUGCUAUUUUUUCGUUACCAUUAUUAGUCAAAAGAUAAUAUCACGAUUGACUUCACAAAAGUCAAAUUUACUUCUGCAUCAAAACUAACCCAAUAAUUAAAAUAUUUACCAAAAUCAAAACCAAUAUUUACCAAUGACAGAAAAUUCAAACUUACAACUUGCUUACAUCCACACCUUGCAAGAAUUCAACCACUUUCAUAGAUGCUACUCUAUAUUCCUUUUUUAUUUUUUUAUUUUUUCAACUACUUAUAAUUUUAUUUAUGAUGUGUACAAUUUUAGCAUAAUUGUAGUUUGGCACCAAAAAAUAGAAUAAUAAUAAAGCAAUCCUUUGACACAAACAAUAAGUUUUUUUUUUUCAAUUUUUAGGAAAAUCAAGUAGCCAAACUGACAAUGAAGAAAUAUAGACAACGGAUUAACGGCUAUAAUUUAAUUACACAUAUUUAUCAUUUUUUAAGAGAAUUGAGAUUUACUAUAUUUCAUGAUAAUUUAUGAUAAAUAUGCAUGCCACAUUCGCAUAAUUAAAUUAUAACCGUUGAUCCAUUAUCUAUUUAUCCUUAUUAUAGGCUUGACUACUUGGACGAGUAUAUUUCCCAUAUUAAUUCUUAAGGCUGAAGCAAAAACUUGCCUCACUCAACUAGUUGCUUUUGAUUACAAAUGGGGGUGGGUUAAAAAAUCGUUGCUCCAAAAAAAAUCAAACCGAAUUGAUAGUUUAUUGCAAUGAGUUAAAAAAAAAAUAGUUUAUAUAAAAAUAAAAAAUCACAAAAUACAAAGAAAUUUACGAGUUAAAACCAGAAAAGGAUUAACCGAAUUGAUUCUCAAUUCGGAUUAGAAAUUUAUAGAGGAAACAAGGAAUCGGACGUUUUCGAAAUCCAUAUAAGAAUUUGCAAUAAAUGAUAUUUUUUCUUUUUUAAAUUAUAGCAUACUUGUAUGUGGCUCACUUUAGCAAUCUUUAGUUGUUUUCAGUUUAUUAAUAUGAAUUAUAUUUAUUUUGUAGAAAUAAAGAAUAUGGAAAAAGCCACUAUAGUUGAAGAUCUAGAGUUGCGGAAAAUUUAGAAAAUUGGGCAACACGAGAAAGAGAGUGAGGGAGCGAGACAAGAGAUAGAUUGAGAGUGUUGUAUUUUGAGAACAACAGUGAGUUUUUAUAUUGAGCACAAAACACAGUAUUUGGUGCUCAGUGUUGUUCUCACUUUGUAAAAAGUGAGAAUAUCAUUUUCUUAAUAAUAAAUCAAUCAGUAAUAACUUUAUUUUAAAAAUUAUUUUUAAGAAAAUUAAGGUAGCCAAGCUAACAGCGAAAAUAAGUAGACAACGAAUUAACAACUGUAGUUUAAUUAUUCAUAUUUAUCAUGAUUUAAAAUAAUUAAACUUUUACCACAUUUCAUAAUAAUUUAUGACAGAUAUGUAUAUUGUAUUUGCAUAAUUAAACUACAGUCAUUAAUCUUUAUCUAUCUAUCUUUACUGUAAACUUGACUACUAGAAUGAGUAUAUUUAUCAUAUUAAUCCUUAGCCGAAGCAAAAUUUUGCCUCACUCAACUACUUGCUUUUGAUUACACUUAGGGGUGGGUAAAGAAAUUGUUGCUCCCAUAAAAACCGACCGAAUUGACGGCUUAGUUCGACUCAGUUCAGUUUAAAAAAUUAAAGAAAUCAGUUUAUAUAAAAAAAAAUUUAAAAAUAUAAAAUACAAAGAAAUUUACGAUUUAAAACCGGAAAAACUCAACCGAAUUGACAGCCGGUUUGGAUUAUGUUUUAUAAAAGCUGAUCAGUUUCAGUUCGAUCAAGAAUCGAAUCGACCCAGGAAAAGUUCUUUUCUGAAUGGAAGAUUUAGUAAACAUCUGCAAAAGAUAAAUGGUGGUCCCAAAAUACCUGCAAAAAACUGCUUUUGCGUGUAUAUACAUCAUAAGGAUGCUAAAACACAAGUGCUUUACUUACUGCUUUUUAAAUUACCUUUGCAGGAUCUCUUCCUUGCAUCGAAGGUGAAGGGUCAUUCUUGUGAAAGAAUAUUAUUGGUAUCUGAACCUUCGCCUUUCUAAGUCAUCAAUAUCAGAAGGUUGCUUCGCUGCCCUUGGUGUUGGCCUCGCCGGAGCAAUUAGGCCCCGCCGCCUUCCAGGUAACCGAUAGAACUUGAGAAAAUUUGGAUGCCAUUUAGGGACUGAGUUACUUGGAUGACCCCUCUUUUUUUUUUUAAUUUAAUUCACGCGUCGUCGAAUUUGGAUCGGGGUCUUAAAAGACUGUUAUUUAUUAUUGGAACGAGGCCUUAUUUCACUUUAAAUAAAAAUAAUAAUAAUUUUAAUUAUAAUUAAAAAUCAUGCAUUGCAGCAGACCACGAGGGUAAUGUGGGGAUAAUUUGUCUGCCAUUUUUUUUUUUCUUUUGUCAUUGUCCCUACUUUCAAACCGCAGAACGAGUUAUGACAAAUUGACUCACCAAAAAAAUCUCCAUCUGCCUUGCAAUUUGGACGGCUCAAAUUAAACAUAGUACAAUAGUGCUUGUAACCAACCCCACCUUUGCUGUUGCCUGUUGCCAUCAUUUAUGGCGAUAAAGAAGACAUCUUCGUAAAAAAAAAAAAGAAGGGAUAUUAUAUUUUCUCACUAAAAAUAUUCUGACACAUCAUAUUAGUAUUAUAAUUUUAUAAAAUUAUUAAUUUAUCAUCAAAUAUUUAAAUUAUUAAUAUUUUUUCACCAUUUCGUUAAAACUUAGUUAAUAUGUAAUAGAAAAUUUAUAAAAAGUCAAUUUUACCCAUGGAGCGUAAAAGACCAUGUAAUUAACCUUUUAUGAAUUUUGUAAUUAAAUCAUCAUUUGUUGUUCUUCCUUCUUAAAGCGAAAAAAAUUACCUUUUAUGAAUUUUAUAAAAUUGACCUUUUAAAAGACCAUAUAAUUAACCUUUUGUGAAUUUUAUAAUUAAAUCAUCAUUUGCUGUUCUUCCUUCUUGAAGGGCAAAAUCGUCUUUUACGCUCUAGGGGUAAAAUUAACCUUUUAUAAAUUUUUCGUUACAUAUUAACUGAGUUUUAACAGAAUGGUGGGAAAAUGCUAGGUGGCUCUAAUUAAACAUAGUACAAUAGGGUACGGAUUCGGUGCUGAUAUAAGUAAGUUCUGAGCACUAGAUUAAUGAUCAGCAAUUAUUUUAUGUGGGUCCUAAAUAAUUACGGGCCAUUGAUCCGGUGUUUAUGACUUGCACGUAUCAGCACCUGAUUCUGAUCCAGUACAAUAAUGCUUGUGACCAGCCCCACGGAUUCUGGUCCAGUACAAUAAUGAUUCUGGUCCAGUACAAUAAUGCUUGUGACCAGUACAAGUGCGCGAUCUCACACUUUUGUUGAAGUAUCCGAUGCUCACAACAAUGAGUGAUGGACCAUUGGGGUUGUAGUUUGUACAUGUCUUGUUUUGCAUGUUAUUGCUCAAAAAAGUUAAAUAGCCAGCUCUUAUUUUUUUAAAAAUUAAUUUGGUGAAUUCUUCAUUACCAAAUUAACUAAUUAAUCUUUUAAAGGUUUUGAAGAAGCCGGGGAAGAAGAAAGAGGUUAUAAAAUGUGCAGAGAAAGAACUCAAAUGAGUCUCACUUUAAAACUCCGUUAGUUUUCGAAUUGUAAUUGGCCACUAAAUGUUGUGUUUUGGCAUUUAAAAAGGAAAAUUAAAAGUAAAUUAAAUUUUAGCUCUUAAGUAUACUUAAAUUACCUCUAAAAAAAUCCCAGAAAAAAUCAGAUUAUAAGAGAGUUUGAAUGCAUGUAUCACGUGGAUGGGACUGCAUUCCGAGGACCCAUUAUUAUACGUUUCCCCGAGCAUCUAACCUGUAGAUAAGCCACAUCGAGACAGAAGUGGCCCUUCAUCAAUUUUGAGAAACACGUGGGCUUUCAUAAUUAAAAAAUACAUGAUUGCGAUGCAUUCCAUUUGUUUUGCAAUUUGGGUGGCUCUAAUUAAACAUAGUACAAUAGGGUACGGAUCCGCUGCUGAUAUGGGUAAAUUUUGAGCACUGAAUUAAUGGUCAGUAAUUAUUUUAUGUGAGAUCUAAAUAAUUACGGGCCAUUGAUCCGGUGCUCAUGAUUUGCUCGUAUCAGCACCGGAUUCUGGUCCAGUACAAUAAUGCUUGUGACCAGCCCCACGUGUAAACAUUUAUGGCGCAAAUAAAAGAAGACCAUUAUCGUGAAAAAAAAUGUCAUAUUCGGAGUAGAAUAUAAAUGUAAUUUAGUUCACAAAUGAACAAAUGAACAAAUGAAAAACGUAAGGUUGGAUGCUUGUCAGUUUUUUAAUUAAUUAUUUUAAUAUAUUGAUAUGUUUACAAUUUGAGAUCUAUAGAGAAUAAUUUGUGACAGAAUUUAGAGGUUUGAUAACAUAGCCUAGAAAUAUGUUUUCACUAGUAAUUGGAAAAAGAUCUAUAUUGCCCCAUAUUGUUGUAAUAAAGGAAAAGAAUUUUAGCCUGGUGGGCUGCUGCCCUCACAAGCAUUGUGAGGGCAGCGGUUCUAGCCCCCACAAAAGUAUUGUGGGGGCUAAAUGUUCUUUAUAUUUAAAAAUUAUUUUUUCUUGCGAAAUACAAGUGGAGUAUGGACAUCCCUCUCCUGUGAGGGGCUAUUUGUCUGGGCAUGUACUUAAUAGAAUUCAAUGUAAUAAUGUAAGUCCCAAUCAUGUAUAUCUGAUUGUAAAUAUCAGUGUAAUAUCUCUGCUACAAUAGCAGUUGUUGUAAAUAUCUGUUAAUGCAGUAAUCUGAUGAUUAAUCAGUAUUAAAAAAAAAGGAAAAGAAUUUUAUGAUGGCUCGAACUGAUUUUCAUAUUUAAUAUAUAUCGUCCUUUACUAUUAGAGCAUUUUUACUUUAUCUUCACUUCAGAUUCAUAUUAAAAUUUAAAAAAUAAAUUUUAAUACAUUAAAAAUUAUUUUUUUGUUUGUUAAUAUCUAUAUUUUUUAUAUAUUGGUGGCAUCCUCAUUUUAAUAUUUUCACUAGAGAAUUAUUAUGAGUACUGAUCUGAUCCAAAAUACAAAAAAUCUAUUAAGUUAUAUAGUUUAAUAUUAUAAUGUCAUUUACACUAUUAAACCAUAACUUUUUCAGAUUUUAACAAAGUUCAAAUCUUAGAUUAAAUCUNNNNNNNNNNNNNNNNNNNNNNNNNNNNNNNNNNNNNNNNNNNNNNNNNNNNNNNNNNNNNNNNNNNNNNNNNNNNNNNNNNNNNNNNNNNAGAUUUAAUCUAAGAUUUGAACUUUGUUAAAAUCUGAAAAAGUUAUGGUUUAAUAGUGUAAAUGACAUUAUAAUAUUAAACUAUAUAACUUAAUAGAUUUUUUGUAUUUUGGAUCAGAUCAGUACUCAUAAUAAUUCUCUAGUGAAAACAUCCUCAUUUUAAUAAAAUGAGGAUGCCACCAAUAGAUAACUUCAGAUUCAUAUUAAAAUUUAAAAAAUAAAUUUUAAUAUAUUAAAAUUUAUUUUUUUGUUUGUUAAUAUCUAUAUUUUUUAUCUAUUGGUGGCAUCCUCAUUUUAAUAUUUUCACUAGAGAAUUAUUAUGAGUACUGAUCUGAUCCAAAAUACAAAAAAUCUAUUAAGUUAUAUAGUUUAAUAUUAUAAUGUCAUUUACACUAUUAAACCAUAACUUUUUCAGAUUUUAACAAAGUUCAAAUCUUAGAUUAAAUCUCUCUGUGUGUGUGUAUUUUGACAAAGUCUUUUAGUUUCAAGAUUGUAUCCGAUUUCACACUUUUGUUAAAAGUAUUCAGUCUUUUAGUUUCAGCUUUUGAACAUACAACUGGAAACACCGACGCGUUACCACAAUACUCAGAAGGCAAGUUCAUGUUAUAAUGUUUUCCUCACGAGGUAACUAGACAUGAAAAUAGAACAGUGUCUUUAGGAUUUAGUCGAAGUGCAAUAGUUCUACAUCUCCAUAUAAAAGCAGUUAACAAGUCAAAUGUGGAACAGUUAAAGUGCAAUGGAGGUUGAUUUUUUAGCGCUUCUAUCUCAUUGGACCAAAGUACAAUGAAUUGUGGUCAGUAGCGGCUCGACCUCCAUGCAACUUAGACCGAUAAAAUCCAGAUUUUGAAAUUUCAGAUUUUAUCUUUUUAUUAUUCUCUUAAUUUGUUGUUUUAUUUAUUUGUUCUUAUUUCUUUUUAAUAUAUUCUUUUAUUAAUUUACUAUAUAUAUUUUGUGUGUGUCUUUUUAAUAUAUUCUUUUAUUAAUCUACUAUAUAUAUUUUGUGUGUGUUAUUUUAUCUAUUUUGAAAUAAAACUAUAUCGAAAAACUUUAGAAAAUAGAAGAAUAGAAAAAUAAGUUUAAUCUAGAAAAGGAGUAGUAAAAAAGUUGUAAUUUAAGUUAAAAAACAAUAAGUAAUAGAUGAAUGGUAGAGAAUAAUUAAGUAGGUUUUGCAAAGGAAACAUAUUUAUAACGUGGAUGUUUUAGAUAAAUUUUUAAAAUGUAAGAAUUACUUGUACAAUUAACUCAAACUCUAGGAACUAAAUAGACAUUUAUGUUUAGUUAAAAGAAUUUAGAAACUAUAUAAUCUGAGAAUGCAUGCGAAAGUAAAGUCACUUGCUUACAAGUAAUAGAUAAACUCACUUGAAUUAAGAGCAAUGGGCAACCAAGAAUGCCUUGGGAACCUGGAACAUUACAGAGCAAUUGUUCCAAAUACGGGCAUGGUGGCUGAACAGCAUCGCCAAGCCGCUCAAGUUUGAAGUUAGCUUCAGCCUCAAGCAACAAGAUCCCUUCACCAUUGCAAUCCACCAUAAGCUUGCGGUUGGGGCCUUUUACAAGCGUACAUGAAAAAGGAUAAUAAUAUACAAGUGCUUUACUUAAAGCUUCCUUGAUGACCUCCACGGGAUCUUUUCUUUUUGGACAGUAGGUGAUGAUGAAGGGUUGUUCUUGUAAAAUAAUAUUCCUGGAACCUGAAACCUUAGACUUUCUUGAUCAUCCAUAUCCGAAAGUUGCUUUAAUUCACGCGGCGUUGGCCUUGCCGGAACUAAUUCCAGUGCUUGCCGGGUUACCGACAAAAUUUGAGAAAAUUUAAUUUGAAGCCAUUUUAAUCUGUGUUAUUUGCUUGAGGACUUAGUUUUUUUUUUUUUUUGUUUGGUGAGGCUUGAACUAUUUCGUUAGUUGCCUUGGCCUCCAUUGUUUCUUAUUUAUGGUCAUUGUUAGACAAGAAAGAAGCAAGAGUAUUCCACGGGUGAAAACUGAGACCAAGUAAAUUAUUUUGGUCGAUCCAGACAGAACAAAUGAGGACAAAUGUCAUGUGAUGCUCAUUUUCUUAUAGUGCAAUCAAAUGGAAAAUUAAGAGCGCAAGUUAAUACGAGUGCCUCUAUCACUUUCAAUAAAUAUAAAAUUUAAUAAUUUAAAAUUUCUAAUCAUAUUACUAAACGUUGAAAAUGUGUAAAUUGACCAUUAUGUUGUAUAUACAAUGUAUGUUCAUGAAUCCAUUCCUAUCCAAAAAUAAGAAGAAUCCGAUUGUAAUAAAAUUAAUUUCCAACCGCCUAUGCAUUAGAGACCACGAUUCAGUGAAAGUGUACCCACUCUUGAUGUGAUGCUCAAUAUGGAAAUGUAAAAUAGAUGAGGAUUUUAAUGUGUGGUUUUUGCAAUCUCUCUUUCUCUUUCUCUCUUUUUUCCCUAAAUAUUACUACAGCUUAGUAAUCUAUGUUAGGAAAUUGAUGGGUGAAGUAGACACGCAGCUAAAGUGAAAUUGGAAGAAAAUAAAGAAUAAGCACAAAAAAAGAGGACACCAGAAAAUUACGUGGUUAAGCUUUUAGCCUACGUCCACGGGCGAAGACAGAAGGAAAAUAUUUCACUAGUGAAAUAAGGAUUACAAGUAUUGUAAUAUUUUGGCUCAUUACCCAAAACUCCAAUACACCCAAUCUCUCACUCACUAGACUCUCAAGACCUUUAUAAUUUUAAGCUCUUAAAAUCUCUCAAGCUCUUUCCUUGUUAUUUUCUCACAAAUUGAAUGCACACAUCGAAAUGAGAGCUCUCCCCUUUAAUAGCCAAAAUUGGCUAUUAAAAUAAUAAUUAAUUUUUUUUUUCUUGUCAAAAUCGUGUUCCCCUUUUUCUUCUUCAAACUUCUUCUUUUUCCAUUUUCUUCAUUCCAAAUUUGCUGCUGCCAAAUUCUUCAUCUUCUUCUUUGAACAAAAUUGUUGCUGACCAUCUAGAUGGCUGCUUUAUACUAUCUAGAUGGCCACUUUAUUUGACAUUUCUCCCACUUGGAGAUUUAAUUGAGAAUCAAUUAAUUUCCACACCAUCCUUUCUGCUUCGCCAUAAUCAUGUUGUCUACGUUUCUGCUAGACCACAAGAGGAUCUACUCCAGAUAAACUUGUCAGCAUUUAUCGGCUUGGUCAAAACAUCUGUUGGGUUCUCCUUCGUAUGGAUUUUCUGUAAAUCCACACUUCUGUCUUCCACUACUUCUCAAACGAAGUGAUACUGAACUCCUAUGUACUUUGUCCUUGAAUGAAAUCUCCUAUGUGCUUUGUCCUGGAAUGAAAUGAUGGAUUCCUUGUAAUGUGCAAGGCACUCUGACUGUCACAAAAUACAUGAAUUUUCUGCUGUUUGUGCCCGAGCUCCUCCAAUAAUCUUUGUAUCCAAAUAGCUUCCUUGCAAGCUUGUGUAGCUGCCAUGUACUCUGCUUCUGUUGUAGAUAAAGCCACAACGGUCUGCAGUUUCGAAACCCAACUUACAGCUGCUCCCACAAGUGUAAACACAUAGCCAGUAGUGGUUUCCUUUUAUCAAGAUCUCCUGUAAAAUCUGAAUCCACAUAGCCCCUGACAGUAAACUCUGAUCCUCCAUAACAUAAUACAACAUCUGAGGUUCCUCUGAUGUAUCUCAGAAUCCUCUUCACAGCUAUCCAAUGCUCUCCACCAGGAUUCGCCAUGUAUUCGCCAUGUAUGUAUGGUCUUGUACAUAUCAUAGCGAACAUCAAACUUCCCACUGCUGAUGCAUACGGUACUCGAAACAUCUCCUUCCUCUCUGCUUCAUUGCUAGGACACAUACUUGAGGAUAAUUUGAAAUUAACAGGAAGUGGGGUAGAGAUUGACUUACAAUCUUGCAUGUUGAAGCGCUGCAAGAUUUUCUUCAAGUAAUUCUUCCGUGAAAGCCAAAUCUUCAUGUUAUUUCUAUCUCAGUGAAUUUGCAUCCCUAGAAUCUUAUUUGCUGGUCCCAAGUCCUUCAUUCCAAACUCCCUAGCCAACUGUGCCUUCAAUUCUUGGCCGCCUUGGCCGUACAGCAGAUUCCAAACUCCCUAGCCAACUGUGCCUUCAAUUCUUGGAUUCGAUCUUUAUUGGGGCCUGCUACCAACAUAUCUUUACUCCAUCAGCAUAUCCCAAGAAGAUACAUCUUCUAGAUUUUGCAUCCAGUUUUGUUCUUUCUUGAGCAUUGUACAUCACGUACACAAGACAUCCAAAUGCAUGUAGGUAGGAAUAAUCAGCUGGCUUUCCAGUCCACAUCUCCAUCGCUGUCUUCAGCCCAAUUACUGUAGAUGGUGAUUGAUUUACAAUAUAACAGGCAGUUUUGGUUGCUUCUGCCCAAAAUGAAUUGGGUAGACCAGCAAUCCUCAACAUAGCUCUUAUCCGUUCCGUAAGAGUUCUAUUCAUCCGCUCUGCCACUCCAUUUUGUUGAGGAGUGUAUGCCACCGUGAACUGUCUCAAGUCUAGAAUGCAUUUACUUCUAGCAAUAGAUCUACUAAAUUUUAAUCUAUGCUGCUUACUUGUAACACAAUGCUCACAAAAUGGUAAACUUACCGAUUUGAGCCCCGGAAGUAAUUUUCGCUCAGAGAGAAUUUUCAAACCUUGUUCUGACAUGUGACCAAGUUUGAAAUGCCACAUCAUCGUUGAUUCUUCUCCAUUUGAUGCGACACACACAUCAGCCUUCUGUAGUGUUUCUCUUUUAAGCAUGAAUAAAUUAGCACCGAUCUUUUCUGCCUUCAUCAAUACAAGCGCGCCUUUAACGAUCUUCAUAAUUCCAUUCUCCACAUGAGUUUUGUACCCAUGACUAUCCAUUUGUCCCAAAGACAAAAUAUUUUUUUUCAGGCCGUUGACAUGUCGUACCUCCCCAAUUGUGCGAAUUGUACCAUCAAACAUUUUUAUUUUGAUAAUACCAAUACCAGCGAUCUCCAAGGCAUGAUCAUUACCCAUAUAUACAGAUCCUCCUGAGAUAGGUUCAUAUGUGUGGAACCAUUCUCUCUGAGAGGUCAUGUGCCAAGUAGCUCCUGAGUCUAUAAGCCAGACAUCAGAUAGUCGUUUUCUGCCUUUUGAAAUAGUUAUUGCCUUGCUGUAGAGAAUUUCGCCAUCAUCCGAGGUACUUGCUACACACCUUUGAGCAUUUGAUGACUCAGGUUCUUUGCCCUCUCUUCUCUUCUGGUUACCCCAACACUCUUUCUUGACGUGCCAUUUCUUGCCACAGUUGUAGCAUUUAACAUUCUUCUUACUUCUAGAUUUUGAUCUACCAUGAUUUUGACUCUCACUAGGGCCACGUUCCGUUGAUCUCCCUCUCGUCACCAAUAGCGCCUCCGCUUGCUGCGAACUUGCUUGUCUGUUUUCCUUAUUUUUUCGCCUGCUCUCCUCAUUUAAUACGGAGGCUGCAACAUCGUCGAAAACUAGACUGUCUGCUGGAUUGUUGUUCGUCAGGUUGAUGAUGAGUUGAUCAUACGAAUCUGGUAGACUUUGAAGUAGAAGCUAUAUUAUAACCCAACGUUGUGAGUUAUGAAAAUAGAGUUUUCAAGGUGUUAAUGUGGUCAGUCACCAUUGUACAUUCCGCCAUUCGAAGAGUAUAGAGUUUCCUCUUUAAGAAGAUUUUGUAGUGACUUGGCUUGUACAAUUUUGUGAGAGUAUCCCAUAUUUUCUUUGCUGUAUUUUUCUCUGCCACACUGGAUAAUACUCCGUCUGCUAGUGCCAAGUGUAGAUCAGAAAUGGCGUUGCCAUCUAUCUCGUUCCACUUGUCAUUAGUUAUCUCCAUGGGCCUUUCUCCAAUUGCUGCCAAGCAAUUAUUUUUCCUCAAUACAGCUUUCAUCUUCAUUUUCCACAACGAAAAAUUAUUUCCGUUAAAUUUCUCAAUUUCAUACUUUGCCGCCAUUUUGUUGAUAAAUACCGCACACAAGCUAGUGUACCACCUUGAAUAAUUGUGAGUAUGUGUGAGAAUGCACACCAGGAAAGUUCCUAGGAAAGACUGGAGGGGUCACAAUGGUCCCACUUAAAACCCAGACUCCUUAAGCUCUUAUCGCCUUUGUGACAGAACUUUCCUAGACAUGUACAAAACCACACAGUUGUUUUACUCACACCAUUAUUCCCUGCUUUGCACCGCAAAAUUCUUGGAUCGCUCCCACCGUUUCACGUGAAUAGUACUGUAUACGUGAACAGUACCGUAUAUGUGAAUAGUACCCGACUCCAAAAAUACAACCAAUAUCUCUGAUACCACUGUUAGGAAAUUGAUGGGUGAAGCAGACACGCAGCUAAAGUGAAAUUGGAAGAAAAUAAAGAAUAAGCACAAAAAAAGAGGACACAAGAAAAUUACGUGGUUUGGCUUUUAGCCUACAUCCACGGGCGAAGACAGAAGGAAAAUAUUUCACUAGUGAAAUAAUGAUUACAAGUAUUGUAAUAUUUUGGCUCACUACCCAAAACCCCAAUACACCCAAUCUCUCACUAGACUCUCAAGACCUUUAUAAUUUUAAGCUCUUAAAAUCUCUCAAGCUCUUUCCUUGUUAUUCUCUCACAAAUUGAAUGCACACAUCGAAAUGGGAGCUCUCCCCUUUUAUAGCCAAAAUUGGUUAUUAAAAUAAUAAUUAAUUUUUUUUUCUUGUCAAAAUCGUGUUCCCAUUUUCUUCUUCAAACUUCUUCUUUUUCCAUUUUCUUCAUUCCAAAUUUGCUGCUGUCAAAUUCUUCUUUUUCUUCUUUGAACAAAAUUGUUGCUGACCAUCUAGAUGGCUGCUUUAUACCAUCUAGAUGGCCACUUUAUUUGACAAUCUAAAGGGUUUAUUUCCUAAAUAAAAUAUUAAAAAAAAUCGAAAGAGUUAUUAUUGCAAAACAAAAUAAAACUAAAGGAUUAUUUCUUCACUACAAAUUCACGGCAUGAUAAGUACUUUUAUUUUCACUUCUCACUGGUUUCCACCUAAACCUAUGAACAAUAGCUUAAUGGUGGACUAAUCAGUUCGAGCUUCCAAGGGAAUUAUUUAUUUGCUUUCCAUAGAGUGUAGAAUAGAUAUGGACAUAUCUCCCCAAUAUUAGCUAGAGAAAGUAGAAUUUUAAGCUAUUCUCGAUUGAAUUUCCAAGUUGCACUUUAAAUAUAUUAUUCGAUCGGCAACUAUCUGCUAGCACAAAAUAAAAAUUUGAAAUAAUUAGUGAACGGGUUCAGAUAGAUUAAUCCUCAUCUUUAAAAAGUUAAAAAAUAAGUCUGCAAAUGAUAUAAACCAGUAGCGGGUUGCUGCCUAAUAUUAUUGAAGUUAAAAUAACUCAUUCGGUGGUGCAAGUAUACUCGAAAGGACUUCCAUUUAUUUAGGGGAACAAGCCCAAUUAGCCGAGUGUUGCAAGAAUUUUUGGAAGGAGAAUUUGCCUCCUAAUUUACAGUACACCACCUUAUCACAACAUAUUCAAUAGCGUCCUAAUUUUACAAGACACGUACUCGUCAUCAUGUUCAAUACAUAGUAAAGUCUUGGGUACUCUAAGCUCAUUAUCCUUUUGUAUUUUUCUUCAAAUUUGAUCCGUAUUUUUAAUUUGGAAUGCUAACAUAGGUGAUGAUCAAGUGUUUGAAAAUCACCAUUCCAACUAACGAAGUACUCUCGUAGCAAAGCAUAAAGAUGAGCAAAGUUCAAAUUAUUGUUAUUAUUAUUUUUAACUAAGAUUUAAAUUUGGGAUGGCCAAUCAAAGAAGAAAUGGAUUGACAACCACUCCGCCAAGCCGUAGGUGCAGACUAUAAUUGUUUUCGAAAUUAAUCAAGUAGGAAACAAAUGUUUAUAUCGAUGGACACUUUCUGUCCACAUAUAUAAAUCAUCUUACCCCUAACCGACCAAGAAUAUUUUUGCUGAAGUUGAAUAAAAAGAUUAUGUAUAACGUGCCAUUGGUCUUGAUUUGUCUAUAUCGUCCAAUAUUACUGAAUGGCAGGAAAUUUUCAUAUUUCGGUAACAGUCAGUUUCCAUACACGCUACACACGUGCUGCUGCAUAAUUCGGUAACAGUCAGUUUCGAUACGCGCUACACACGUGCUUCUUUCUUCAGCUAUAAAUGAAAAUAUUUGGAGGCCAAGGCAACCAGUGAAACAGUUCAAGCCUUACCAGAACAACUAAACUAGUAACUAACAUUGAAAAUUUAAAAUGGCUCCAAAAUUUUCUCAAGUUUUGUCAGUAACCCGGCAGGCACCGGAAUUAAUUGUUCCGGCAAGGCCAACACCGCGUGAAUUAAAGCAACUUUCCGAUAUAGAUGACCAAGAAAGUUUCAGGUUUCAUAUUCCAGUAAUAUUCCUUUACAAGAAUAAGUCUGCAUCAUCACCUCCAGUACUCAAAGAAAAAGAUCCCGUGAAUGUCAUCAAGGAAGCUAUAAGUGAAGCACUUGUGUAUUAUUACCCUUUUGCUGGUAGGCUUAUAGAAGGUCCCAACCGCGCAAGCUUAUGGUGGAUUGCAAUGGUGAAGGGAUCUUGUUUCUCGAGGCUGAAGCUAACUUCAAACUUGAGCAGCUUGGCGGUGCUAUUCAGUCUCCAUGCCCGUAUUUGGAACAAUUGACCUACAAUGUUCCAGGUUCUGAAGGCAUUCUUGGUUGCCCAUUGCUCUUAAUUCAAGUGAGUCUAUCAUAACUAACCAUUGAAUUUACUUCAUAUGCAUACUCAAAAUAAAUACUUUCGAUGUUUUCUAAUUAAUGAGAAGAUACAUUCAAGUCUCUAAAUGUGUCACUUUUUCCAGUUAGCCGGGUUCAUAUAUAUAUUUUUCAAUUACCUAUUACAUCAUAACAUUAUAAUAUAGAAAACACAUUUUUUUGGGCUUUUGAAGUCGAGUGUACUAAUCGAACAUUUCUUUUAGUAGUCUUUUUUUUGGGGGGGGGUGGGGGAUACACUAAAUUAUCUUAUUGAGUUCCAGGAAAAUUGGCUCGUUAUACAAUUCCAAAACUUACGUAGACAAGUAAUAAUUUUUGAAGGUUUUAAAUAUUUAAUUUGAAACUUUCGAUAAAAGUUUAGUUGACCACUAAUAAUUUUCUACAAAUUACACUGUCGAAUAAAGUGAGAAAUUAAAAAAAUGGUCCUAAAUGAUAAAAUAUGUAAACAUAUUGGGGACCAAAAUGUCAUUCUUAGUUUCUCGCUUCUAUAUAUUACCUAAUUUUACUUCAAGUAUUUUAAUAUUUUCUUUGUUUCUCAUAUAUAUAUAUAUAUAUAUAGGUGACUCGUUUGAUGUGUGGAGGAUUCACUCUUGCGAUACGUUUCAACCACACAAUGUGUGAUGCAUCUGGUUUGGUGCAAUUUGUGAAAACGAUAGAGGAGAUGGCAAGAGGUGCAAAUACACUUUCGAUAUUCCCUGUUUGGCAAUGGGAACGCUUAUGUGCUAGAAAUCCACCACAAGUAACAAGUGUUCACUUAGAAUACGAAGAAAUAAAUAACAAUUCAGAUACCUUCAUAACUACCAAUCCAAAUGAAAUGGACCACAAAUCAUUCUACUUUGGUCCCAAAGAAGUGAGAGUCCUCAAAAAUCAACUUCCAUUACACCUUAGAAAUUGUUCAACAUUUGAGUUGUUGGCUGCUUGUAUGUGGAGAUGUAGAACAAUUGCUCUUCAACUAGACCCUAAAGACACUGUUCAAUUUUCAUGUCUAGUUACCGCUCGAGCAAAAGAUUAUAAAAUGGAUAUCCCUUCCGGGUAUUAUGGUAACGCAGUGGCAUUCCCAGCUGUGCAUUCAAAAGUUGGUGCUUUAUGCAACAAUCCAUUAGGGUAUGCUGUUGCAUUGGUGAAAAAAGCAAAGGCUGAAAUGAGUGAAGAGCAUAUAAGAUCUGCGGCGGAUCUUAUGGAGGUCAAAGGGCGACGGCCGAGGCACGCGAUUAAGGGGAACUACAUUGUGUCCGAUUUAAGCAAGGUUGGAUUUGAUAGAAUUGAUUUGGGGUGGGGGAAACCAGUUUUCGCUGGGAUUGCUGGUGCUAAGUCUAUUUUUAGUUUCUUAAACAGGUACCAAAAAGAAGAUGGGGAGACUGGGACUCUCAUACCUAUACGUUUGCCGGGGCCGAGUAUGAAGAGAUUUGAAGAAGAGCUAAAGAGAAUGAUUCAAGGAUCAACAGAAGAUUUAUUUGACAUCACGGAGACUCGUAAGAUUGCUUGCAAGCUUUAGUAGAUUUACCAAUUAUGUCACCUAGAAAAAUAACAAAAGUUUCUGUUAUGUACGUUAGAAAUCCAAUGAAUUGUGCAAGUGACCGAUCAUACUAUAUGUACACGAAGACUUCGAAUUAAUCAAUAAAGAGAUCUCAUUUUCACGAUGUCACAUCUUGUUUUACUAUAAUUUCCUAAAGGUCCAUGUAUAUUUACAAUCUUACAUACUUAUCUAAAAAUUGUAGUUGCUGAUCAAUUACACCAAUCGUCGACUAAAGAUAUGCAAAACAUUUGAGUGUAGGCAGUGGAUUUGUUAAGGCUUUAUCAAGCUGCUGCUUGAUAAUUAAUACACCCAAAGUUGACCUUUGGAAUGAUCCCAAACGAAAUAAUAACCUGUUAUCUGUGGCAAUAUAUAUAAAUAUUUUUUUUUCAAAGAAUGAAUUACGAGCUAACUGGUGCAACGAUUUAUCUGUAACUGUCACAUUAGGUUAGUUAUUACCACAUUAGGAUGUCACAAUUAUAAAGAAGCGAUUAUAUCUGUUGGGAUUCCAAUGUUAAGAUUCCUAACAUGUUGCUUAGAUAAAUAUAAUCUACGUACCUUAUAGCUGGUAAAAGUAGAGAAUAGCCAAUCGGAAUUUACAUCUUUGUACCUAGCCCAUGAAACUUGUAUGACACCACAAAUUGAAUUUCAUAAUCUAAGAACGUGAGAAGAAGUUAGCAUAAACGACGCCCUCUUGAAUUGUAGUUAGUUUAAGCAAGGACCUGGAAGUAUUUGUGAUGACAAUUGUAACGCCCAAAUUUCUCUUUUUUUUUUUUUUUUUAAUGGAAUUUUUAAAUGACAUUAUUGCCCUUAUAAAUAGAGAUUAUUUUGGGGUAAUUUUCGAAAAAGGGUUAUUUUCCCAAAUUCAAUAGGGUUUCUUAAGACUCUUUAUAAAUUCAUAUUUUUCCCCUUCUAUAAUCCUAAACCCACGACGUUUCUUCUUCUCUACUGCUCAUUACACUCUUACCCAAACCCUAAGAUUCAAACAUUUGUUUAGGAGAGAAUCAAAGCGAUUGGUAAGUUUACUCCCCUUAUUCCCCACAAGAUUUCCAAUCACUCUAUCUAGGGUUUAUAUUGGCAUGAUUUUAGAUUUUUAUAGAUCAUAAUGCAUGAUUUAGGAUGUGUUUAGGCUUUGCUUAGGGUUUUGAUUUAUUAUGAAUUUAGUUAAUCAAUCAUUGACGUAUUAAGCACACAGGAUAAUUCUGGACAGCAUGAGUAUCUCGAAUUUAAACCUAUAUUUUCUGAACGAGUCUUCUUAUGAAAUUUAUAUUUCUGAAACUAGACGUGUAGGGCUUCUUGAAUAAAUUUUAUUUCAUUAAAUUUGACUUCGUUUUCAAUUUUAUAUGUAUUUUCGAAUUAGAAACCACUACACUGGAAAACUGCGAUUCCAGAAUUGCGAUCGGAUUCACAAGAUUAUUCGUACCAACAAAUGAACUCGAAAACUUCUGAACUUUUAUAUGGAAGUUAAUAUAUGUGUUUAGUAUUCCCAGUUGUAAUUUCAUAAUUUUCUGAUCCGUAUUUUAUUUUAUAAAAAUCUCAGAACCCGUCCUGUUUGGUUUAGGUUAUGUGAAAACAGUUUCGAAUUUGUCGAGAAAUAAAUAGUUUUGAAAAUGUUUUUGAUAUCGGAUCCUCUUGAAAAUUUUACAUGGGGUACUAAUGGAUGUUCAGAUUAGUUCCAUAGAACAUUAUAUCAUUAUGACUUUUAGAUCAAGAGUUAAAAUUCUGAGAAUCAGACCUGUACGGAUAUGAAUUGGAAAAUCAUAUUCUUAGAAUAAGUUAUUGAUAGUCAUAUUUUGUAUUUGUUUAAGGUAUUGGAGGUGUUUAAGGCUCUUAGAGGCUUUGACGUGUGUAGUUCAAAUUCUUUUGUUGAGGUAAGUAAUUUCAUUCCUAAUGUACUGGAUAUAUGUAUGAUUAUUUUGAUAUUAUUAUAAGUGUUGAUGCCAAAUAAAAAAAUUAAUAUAAAAAUAAUUUUACUACCUGCUGUACCGUACAUCCGCCUUGGCCGUACAGCAGUUAAGGUAUUGGAGGUGUUUAAGGCUCUUAGAGGCUUUGACGUGUGUAGUUCAAAUUCUUUUGUUGAGGUAAGUAAUUUCAUUCCUAAUGUACUGGAUAUAUGUAUGAUUAUUUUGAUAUUAUUAUAAGUGUUGAUGCCAAAAAAUGACCUCAACAGCUGAAUUUGUUUAUGGUGGGAAAUUAGUACGAACCAAGCUUGAAUAUUGAUCUGAACUUCAAGUCUGCAACCUGAAAACCACAUAAAUCGGUCAGGACUCGCCGGUGGGGGUUCCGGCUAAAACCCUCCGAUGCUUAAGUUAGAUUAGGAGUAAAUUUAAUAGUUGACUGGAAGGGAAAUAACUCAAGUAAAAUAACACAAAAAAAAUAUGAAAAAACCAAAAUCCCUCCCCCUCUCCAUGGAAGAUUAAUUUUCUUUUUUCAUUCUCCUUAAAAGUCGCUCAUGUUCUCAACAUGGGUAGUUGGCUCACAUAGAAUAACUGAACCCAACAUAAGUCCCCUAGUUUUCAAGAUCAAGAACUUGUGAUUGGUCUUGGAAACUUAAGAAUAAUGAAAGAAAAAGAGAAAAAAAAAUGAACUUAACAAUAUCUCGAUCUUAAUAAAAUCAGGCGACGACCACGGUCUCAAUAAGAUCAAAUGACCUCGCUGCCAAUCUCAAUAAGAUUGGAUGACAACUUCAAUCUCAAUAAGGCCAAAAAUGACGACCUCGAUCUCAAUAAGAUCGAAUCAAAUAAUUUAUUCACAUUAGACUUCAAUAAGGCCAAGAUAGCGACCUCGAUUUCAAUAAGAUCGAAUCAUACAAUUUAUUCACGUUGGACCUCAACAAGGUAAAAAUACUCUCUUUAGAAUAAUCUCACAAAAUUGCAAAAGAGAAGAACUCUUAAGAAAACUUUCAAAUGCUUAUAAUAAAGCUUUGAUUGUUGAAUAAUAAAACUCAAAUACAAAUAAGGUAUUUAUAGGUUACAAGAAACAAUCUAAACCACUCAUUAAAAUAAUCACAAACUAAUUUAAACCAUUGAAAUUAAACAUGGGAAAAAUACCUAAUUUUCACCUAACUAAAUUGAUGUAAGCAAUGACAUCAAAUUAAUUUGGGUGUGGGCUUAUUUUUGGUUUGGAUUUUUUUUGCUUCAAAAGACUUGGGCUAUUUGGGCUAAUAUUGACUUCUCAACACUCCCCCUCAAUGUUAGCCCCCAUUCUUUGAAUCACGCCAAGCUGACGACGGAAAUGUUCAAACUUUCCAACACUCAAGCUUUUUGUAAACAAGUCCGCAAUUUGUUCAUCUGUCUUGACUUAUAGUAUAUGCCAUAACUUACGAGGACAACCACACGACAGGUUCAAUAAAUUCCAGAACUUUUAUCAACUAUCAUAAAAUUAAAGGUAGCUUCAUUUCAAGCAUUUAAUUUAAGUAAUAUCAGUAAAAUAUGCAAUCCCAGAAAAGUUAAUUGAGGAAUGGGGAUGCUUUAUAAACAAUGACAUCUCCAAUUCCAAAAACUUAUGCUUUAUAACCAAUUCUUAGAACUUUAGAUAGAGGCAAUUAUUGACAAAUAUCAUAAGUAGAUGUACCCUGUAAAUAGAUAAUUCACAAAAUAUUCAAACACUAUGUGACAUUGUCUCCCUCACCCUAACUGAUUCCAUUUGACUUUUCAAAAGUAUUCAAUAAGAAAUACCAUGAAAUUUGUAUAGCCUACAGACGUGAUAGUAGACAAUUGCAAUACUUUGGACAAAGCACACCCAAUUGAUAGUUGGAUAGAAUUUGGGCGCAACCUUGAAGUAAGCUUAACAAAAUUAAACUAAUAAAUCAUGGUUAGUGAAUUGGUAGAUAAUAAGCAUAUCACCAUGAAGUUCACUAUUUCCUCAUGGUAUUUUUUACCUUUGAAAAAUAUAAUUUUGCUUUAAAGAUCAAACUCGCUCCUAACAAAGAUUUAUAGCACAUUGUCCAAGGAUGAAUAGCAUUUGAUCAUGUUGUUGGUGCGUAUGAGACUAACAAAUUUACACAUGCAUUAUCACAAUGAAUAAAAACCGAAACUAGUAGGCAUUUCAAGCUUAAGUAGUAACUUGACUUUGAAAGAUAAUCUACGAAAUUAAGAAUUAGAACAAAUGCACAUGAUCAAAGGGCUUGUAGUAUUUGAUAUUUUUGAUAAGAAAAGUCAUUUCACCAACAACUCGUGAGCUUAGCUUUGCAUCCAAAACUUUACGGCAACACCUCGUAGUAUAAUUCAUGUUGUAACAUAACCCAAGAAAUAGCAGUAAAACUAGAAAGAAAUUUCAGCCUUGUUAAGAAAAUGCUUUAAAGUCAAACCAUAUAUAAACAAUAUGUUUUUCUAUCCUUAGUCGACUAUGAGGAUUUUGUGAUCGAAGACACGAUUAAAAUCAGCCAUGGCCAACACUUGGCCUUAACAAAUUUGUGCUAUUUCCUUUUCAUACUUCUAACAGUUUUCAACAGUUAUUGGAAAUUAUGCAAUGUGAACUAGAGCCAUCGUUUCAAGAAAACAAAUAUAGCGAAUAUCUAAUAUUUUCCCAUGCGAAAGUAGUAGUUGAGCAAAUAUAUAUAUAUAGCUCUUCAAAUAGUUUCAUGCUUAUAUUAAAUAAAUUGAAAUAGAACCUGGAUUUUAGUCCUUGGCUUAUGGCAGAGUUCUCUUAAGCAAACAAAUUUACAUAUUUAACUGCAAUAUAUAAUCGCUAUAUUGCCUAACACAAGUUCCAGACAUUCAGUUACUGUAUUGUUAAAGACAAUAUAAUUUCACGCAAUCAUCAAACACCACAUCUCGUGAUGUGUAGCACCUUCCAUUUACCGGAUCACAACACUUCCACCCUUUUCGCUGGUUGUUAGUAAGCAUAUACUAACUUGUAUAUGCAGUAACUUGCGAGGAUAACCACACGGCAUGUUCAACAAGCAAUUAUCAUAAAAUUAAAGGUGUCUUCAUUUCAUGCAUUUUUGGUAAUUACUGCUUUCUUAUCGAUCUUGCUACGUAGAUGGUCAGGAACAAAUACAUAGCAUACACAGCUGAAUACUCAUAAAAAGCUAUACAGCCAGAGUUUUACAAAAUUUUUAUCUUUUACCAAAUAUUUAUCAAUAAAUGACCAAUCAGUAUUUUAAUUUCAUGUCUCAAACCAAAAGGCAAACUUUAAGUGAAAAUAUUACCUGAGGAACUGAAGUUUAGUGGUUGAGGAAGCUUGUUGAUGACAUGAGCUGCAGUUCUCAUACCUUCAGCCCAAAAUCUUUAAGAAGAAAAAAAAAAAAAGAAAAAAUGUACAGGGAUUCCAAGCAUAUGUGUAGUUUCGAGUUUGUAUGGUGCCAGCCCAGUUUGACUUGGAAGCGAGAUAAAAAAUAAAUAAAUAAAUAAAAUAUAUCUAGCAGGAACAAGAUCAUUGAAGCUUUCACUCUUUAUUUAACCUAUUACUUCAUUUACUAACUUGUAGCAUAUAAAAAAAUGUAAGGUAUGUUGGAAAUAAUUAAUGUAAAAAUCUCUUGGUCAUAUACCAGUUUAUGAUUCUUGUAGGACCAUUGUUUUGCAAUUCUUGUUUUGCCACAACUACUUCCCUUUUUUAUGUUGCUAGGACAUCCUUAAUGUUGCUUUUUAGCUAUCUUCUGAUAUUGUUGUUGUGACCUUUAGAAAUCAUCUUACUCAAUUAUUUUAAAUAAAGUCACGGAACAAUUCUUACACCAUGAGAUAUUUUAUCAAUCACCUCUUGCGCCAAAGCCACAACUACAAGACUGGAUUGGUUAGUACAUAGCAAGAUGCUAAGCUUUUGAACCUAGUGAGUAAUGCCAAACCACUCCAAAUAGGGUCCAAUCAAAUUAACCCAUUAAUUCAUUGCUAUUAAUCUUAUCAGUUAUUUGAUUUCUCCUCAAUUCUCAGCUAUUUCUCAAUCAAAUAAAAUAAUUUUUCCUAAUUAGCAUUUGUUUGAAAAGAAAUUGCACAAGUAGUUCAAUCACCUCAGAAUCAAGAAACACCAUCAUAAUCAACAAAUAAUAAAACAAUUAUUAAUCUGUAAUUCACGCCCCUUAGUUUCGGUUAUACUAAAUAAUUAAAUUGAAACCGAACUCCGUGAGAGCUAAUUCUUCUUCCUCCAUAGCGAGUAAUGCUUUAGCAUCCCAGCUAUCUUCACUAUCUUCUUUAGAACUAGAAGUAACAAUAUUGCUUUCGGUAGACUUCUUUUUGGACCAACAAUCUCUCUUCAUGUGGCCCUUCUUCCCGCAAUUGUAACAUUCACCAUCGAACUUUCUAUUACUGUCGCGAUUCUUCGAAGCUCCCCCUAGACGAGAGCCAUUCCCUCCCUGAUGACUUUUUGUCUGUUCACUCGUGAGAGCUAAUUCUUCUUCCUCCAUAGCGAGUAAUGCUUCAGCAUCCCAGCAAUCUUCACUAUCUUCUUUAGAACUAGAAGUAACAAUAUUGCUUUCGGUAGACUUCUUUUGGACCAACAAUCUCUCUUCAUGUGGCCCUUCUUCCCGCAAUUGUAACAUUCAACAAUGAACUUUCUAUUACUGUCGCGAUUCUUCGAAGCUCCCCCUAGACGAGAGUCAUUCCCUCCCUGAUGACUUUUUGUCUGUUCACUAGUCUUUCUAGAUCCGCCUUUGUUGUGCUGUCUUAAACCACCUCUGCUUUGGUUGGUGUAAAGCGCUUCUUCUUCACCCUUUAGUGAGACUCCUCCAAAGUAUUGGGCAAUCGCCAUGUCGCGUUGCGCCAUUGAUAGAAGUUCAUUCUCGAGAAGUUGCAAUUUUGUAUCGUUCCUCUUCGAAAAGAGUGUAGCGAAGGUGUCCCACGCUUCCUUCGGUGAUUUAGCAUCCCGAAUGUGCUCCAACAUUUCUUCUUCUAUUGUGGUCUUUAAAGCAAACAUUGCUUUGCCUGCUUUAAUUUUCCACUUCCGCAAGACGCCGUUAGCAUCUUCCGCUGCCGGUUGUGUAACUUCACUACCACCGACAACCUCCCACAAGUCUUGACCUUGAAGGUAAGACUCUAUACACGUUGCCCACGUGUUAUAGUUUUGGUUGUUGAGCUUCUUGAUUCCUCCAACAACUUGAAGAUCACCCAUCGUAUCGACAAGACUUUUACUACACCGAACAAGCUUGAGUGACUACCGUGCAGAGUAAUACACUACUCUUGACACAAAGAAGCUCCCUCUCAAGGUUUGUGAUAACCCCAGCAAUAAUCUCAGGAAACCUUUUCUGAUGUGGAAGAUCAGUCAAAACUGCAACCACAGAGCAUACUCGGAAUUUCAAGAGACUUUACAACCAAUGCUCUGAUACCAAAUGUUGAAUCAAAAUAGAGUAAAAAACUCUAAUUGAUCAAGAAGAAGAAAAACUCUCUUUAGAAUAAUCUCACAAAAUUGCAAAAGAGAAGAACUCUUAAGAAAACUUUCAAAUGCUUAUAAUAAAGCUUUGAUUGUUGAAUAAUAAAACUCAAAUACAAAUAAGGUAUUUAUAGGUUACAAGAAACAAUCUAAACCACUCAUUAAAAUAAUCACAAACUAAUUUAAACCAUUGAAAUUAAACAUGGGAAAAAUACCUAAUUUUCACCUAACUAAAUUGAUGUAAGCAAUGACAUCAAAUUAAUUUGGGUGUGGGCUUAUUUUUGGUUUGGAUUUUUUUUGCUUCAAAAGACUUGGGCUAUUUGGGCUAAUAUUGACUUCUCAACAAAACUAACUAGUAUAUGCCAUAACUUACGAGGACAACCACAUGACAGGUUCAAUAAAUUCCAGAACUUUUAUCAACUAUCAUAAAAUUAAAGGUAGCUUCAUUUCAAGCAUUUAAUUUAAGUAAUAUCAGUAAAAUAUGCAAUCCCAGAAAAGUUAAUUGAGGAAUGGGGAUGCUUUAUAAACAAUGACAUCUCCAAUUCCAAAAACUUAUGCUUUAUAACCAAUUCUUAGAACUUUAGAUAGAGGCAAUUAUUGACAAAUAUCAUAAGUAGAUGUACCCUGUAAAUAGAUAAUUCACAAAAUAUUCAAACACUAUGUGACAUUGUCUCCCUCACCCUAACUGAUUCCAUUUGACUUUUCAAAAGUAUUCGAUAAGAAAUACCAUGAAAUUUGUAUAGCCUACAGACGUGAUAGUAGACAAUUGCAAUACUUUGGACAAAGCACACCCAAUUGAUAGUUGGAUAGAAUUUGGGCGCAACCUUGAAGUAAGCUUAACAAAAUUAAACUAAUAAAUCAUGGUUAGUGAAUUGGUAGAUAAUAAGCAUAUCACCAUGAAGUUCACUAUUUCCUCAUGGUAUUUUUUACCUGUGAAAAAUAUAAUUUUGCUUUAAAGAUCAAACUCGCUCCUAACAAAGAUUUAUAGCACAUUGUCCAAGGAUGAAUAGCAUUUGAUCAUGUUGUUGGUGCGUAUGAGACUAACAAAUUUACACAUGCAUUAUCACAAUGAAUAAAAACUGAAACUAGUAGGCAUUUCAAGCUUAAGUAGUAACUUGACUUUGAAGGAUAAUCUACGAAAUUAAGAAUUAGAACAAAUGCACAUGAUCAAGGGGCUUGUAGUAUUUGAUAUUUUUUAUAAGAAAAGUCAUUUCACCAACAACUCGUGAGCUUAGCUUUGCAUCCAAAACUUUACGGCAACACCUCGUAGUAAAAUUCAUGUUGUAACAUAACCCAAGAAAUAUCAGUAAAACUAGAAAGAAAUUUCAGCCUUGUUAAGAAAAUGCUUUAAAGUCAAACCAUAUAUAAACAAUAUGUUUUUCUAUCCUUAGUCGACUAUGAGGAUUUUGUGAUCGAAGACACGAUUAAAAUCAGCCAUGGCCAACACUUGGCCUUAACAAAUUUGUGCUAUUUCCUUUUCAUACUUCUAACAGUUUUCAACAGUUAUUGGAAAUUAUGCAAUGUGAACUAGAGCCAUCGUUUCAAGAAAACAAAUAUAGCUAAUAUUUAAUAUUUUCCCAUGCGAAAGUAGUAGUUGAGCAAAUAUAUAUAUAUAGCUCUUCAAAUAGUUUCAUGCUUAUAUUAAAUAAAUUGAAAUAGAACCUGGAUUUUAGUCCUUGGCUUAUGGCAGAGUUCUCUUAAGCAAACAAAUUUACAUAUUUAACUGCAAUAUAUAAUCGCUAUAUUGCCUAACACAAGUUCCAGACAUUCAGUUACUGUAUUGUUAAAGACAAUAUAAUUUCACGCAAUUAGGAUUUGGAUUAGUAGCCUAAAUCGGUUCUUUAAAAUGGCCAUCUUUCAGAUAUCAUGUUGAGCCUUUUGUUAAUACAGCUCUGAUGCAAAAACAAUAUUGAUAAAAAUUGCAGAGCUAGAGUUUACCCAUUUUUAUCAAAACAAGGAAAAUAAAUUGACCAACCAAUAUUAUAAAUUAGUCUAGUAGAGAUUUCAAAACAACUAACCAAUAGCCUUUAAGUGAAAAUAUAAUCGAUGGAGUUAAAAUCUAGAACAAAUGCACCUGAGAUGGUACUUUGUUGUCUAUUAACUCCUCUCAGCUAUUUCAUCAACAUGUAGUAAGCAUAUACUAACUUGUAUAUGCAGUAACUUGCGAGGAUAACCACACGGCAUGUUCAACAAGCAAUUAUCAUAAAAUUAAAGGUAGCUUCAUUUCAUGCAUUUUUGGUAAUAUCAGUGUUGCAAACAUAAAUCAGUUCUAAAAAAUAGUUAUACUCUCAAAGAUAUCAUACUAGACCUUUUGUGACUAUAGCUCUUACAAUUUACAUGCAAAAUUAAGAUUGAUAAAAAGCUAUACAGCCAGAGUUUUACAAAAAUUUUAUCUUUUACCAANNNNNNNNNNNNNNNNNNNNNNNNNNNNNNNNNNNNNNNNNNNNNNNNNNNNNNNNNNNNNNNNNNNNNNNNNNNNNNNNNNNNNNNNNNNNNNNNNNNNNNNNNNNNNNNNNNNNNNNNNNNNNNNNNNNNNNNNNNNNNNNNNNNNNNNNNNNNNNNNNNNNNNNNNNNNNNNNNNNNNNNNNNNNNNNNNNNNNNNNNNNNNNNNNNNNNNNNNNNNNNNNNNNNNNNNNNNNNNNNNNNNNNNNNNNNNNNNNNNNNNNNNNNNNNNNNNNNNNNNNNNNNNNNNNNNNNNNNNNNNNNNNNNNNNNNNNNNNNNNNNNNNNNNNNNNNNNNNNNNNNNNNNNNNNNNNNNNNNNNNNNNNNNNNNNNNNNNNNNNNNNNNNNNNNNNNNNNNNNNNNNNNNNNNNNNNNNNNNNNNNNNNNNNNNNNNNNNNNNNNNNNNNNNNNNNNNNNNNNNNNNNNNNNNNNNNNNNNNNNNNNNNNNNNNNNNNNNNNNNNNNNNNNNNNNNNNNNNNNNNNNNNNNNNNNNNNNNNNNNNNNNNNNNNNNNNNNNNNNNNNNNNNNNNNNNNNNNNNNNNNNNNNNNNNNNNNNNNNNNNNNNNNNNNNNNNNNNNNNNNNNNNNNNNNNNNNNNNNNNNNNNNNNNNNNNNNNNNNNNNNNNNNNNNNNNNNNNNNNNNNNNNNNNNNNNNNNNNNNNNNNNNNNNNNNNNNNNNNNNNNNNNNNNNNNNNNNNNNNNNNNNNNNNNNNNNNNNNNNNNNNNNNNNNNNNNNNNNNNNNNNNNNNNNNNNNNNNNNNNNNNNNNNNNNNNNNNNNNNNNNNNNNNNNNNNNNNNNNNNNNNNNNNNNNNNNNNNNNNNNNNNNNNNNNNNNNNNNNNNNNNNNNNNNNNNNNNNNNNNNNNNNNNNNNNNNNNNNNNNNNNNNNNNNNNNNNNNNNNNNNNNNNNNNNNNNNNNNNNNNNNNNNNNNNNNNNNNNNNNNNNNNNNNNNNNNNNNNNNNNNNNNNNNNNNNNNNNNNNNNNNNNNNNNNNNNNNNNNNNNNNNNNNNNNNNNNNNNNNNNNNNNNNNNNNNNNNNNNNNNNNNNNNNNNNNNNNNNNNNNNNNNNNNNNNNNNNNNNNNNNNNNNNNNNNNNNNNNNNNNNNNNNNNNNNNNNNNNNNNNNNNNNNNNNNNNNNNNNNNNNNNNNNNNNNNNNNNNNNNNNNNNNNNNNNNNNNNNNNNNNNNNNNNNNNNNNNNNNNNNNNNNNNNNNNNNNNNNNNNNNNNNNNNNNNNNNNNNNNNNNNNNNNNNNNNNNNNNNNNNNNNNNNNNNNNNNNNNNNNNNNNNNNNNNNNNNNNNNNNNNNNNNNNNNNNNNNNNNNNNNNNNNNNNNNNNNNNNNNNNNNNNNNNNNNNNNNNNNNNNNNNNNNNNNNNNNNNNNNNNNNNNNNNNNNNNNNNNNNNNNNNNNNNNNNNNNNNNNNNNNNNNNNNNNNNNNNNNNNNNNNNNNNNNNNNNNNNNNNNNNNNNNNNNNNNNNNNNNNNNNNNNNNNNNNNNNNNNNNNNNNNNNNNNNNNNNNNNNNNNNNNNNNNNNNNNNNNNNNNNNNNNNNNNNNNNNNNNNNNNNNNNNNNNNNNNNNNNNNNNNNNNNNNNNNNNNNNNNNNNNNNNNNNNNNNNNNNNNNNNNNNNNNNNNNNNNNNNNNNNNNNNNNNNNNNNNNNNNNNNNNNNNNNNNNNNNNNNNNNNNNNNNNNNNNNNNNNNNNNNNNNNNNNNNNNNNNNNNNNNNNNNNNNNNNNNNNNNNNNNNNNNNNNNNNNNNNNNNNNNNNNNNNNNNNNNNNNNNNNNNNNNNNNAAAAAAAUGUAAGGUAUGUUGGAAAUAAUUAAUGUAAAAAUCUCUUGGUCAUAUACCAGUUUAUGAUUCUUGUAGGACCAUUGUUUUGCAAUUCUUGUUUUGCCACAACUACUUCCCUUUUUUAUGUUGCUAGGACAUCCUUAAUGUUGCUUUUUAGCUAUCUUCUGAUAUUGUUGUUGUGACCUUUAGAAAUCAUCUUACUCAAUUAUUUUAAAUAAAGUCACGGAACAAUUCUUACACCAUGAGAUAUUUUAUCAAUCACCUCUUGCGCCAAAGCCACAACUACAAGACUGGAUUGGUUAGUACAUAGCAAGAUGCUAAGCUUUUGAACCUAGUGAGUAAUGCCAAACCACUCCAAAUAGGGUCCAAUCAAAUUAACCCAUUAAUUCAUUGCUAUUAAUCUUAUCAGUUAUUUGAUUUCUCCUCAAUUCUCAGCUAUUUCUCAAUCAAAUAAAAUAAUUUUUCCUAAUUAGCAUUUGUUUGAAAAGAAAUUGCACAAGUAGUUCAAUCACCUCAGAAUCAAGAAACACCAUCAUAAUCAACAAAUAAUAAAACAAUUAUUAAUUUGUAAUUCACGCCCCUUAGUUUCGGUUAUACUAAAUAAUUAAAUUGAAACCGAACCUGAUUCUCACCUCUGAGAAGUGUUCUUUCGAGCUGUACUUGCCAACAACAAUUUGUUAUACUGCCCUCCUAUUUCCCAUCCAAUGAAUCUCAUCACUUUGAAUCUCAUCAUUUUCUUAUGGCUUUUCGUACCGUUCCCCACAGACGGCGCCAAGAUGUUGAUGCCAAAAAAUGACCUCAACAGCUGAAUUUGUUUAUGGUGGGAAAUUAGUAUGAACCAAGCUUGAAUAUUGAUCUGAACUUCAAGUCUGCAACCUGAAAAUCACAGAAAUCGGUCAGGACUCGCCGAUGGGGGUUCCGGCUAGAAUCCUCCGAUGCUUAAGUUAGAUUAGGAGUAAAUUUAAUAGUUGACUGGAAGGGAAAUAACUCAAGCAAAAUAACACAAAAAAAGAUGAAAAAACCGAAAUCCCUCCCCCUCUCCAUGGAAGAUUAAUUUUCUUUUUUCAUUCUCCUUAAAAGUCGCUCAUGUUCUCAACAUGGUUAGUUGGCUCACAUAGAAUAACUGAACCCAACAAUAAGUAUAAAUGUUUUUAUACUACUUAAAGGAUUAAUUGAUUUUGAUAACAAAAUUAGUUUUAUGAAAAUGUUUUCAAACCUAAAUUCUUUUGAACAAAGCAUUUUAUAAAUACUUUUUAAAUAUGUAAGUUAUUUUGUUACAUGCCUACUUUUAUGAUUUUAUUUAAAAAAUAUUUUGCAAGCUUGAAUUAUUGUUAUGAACUUUUCUAAAUCUGAUACGAAUGUUUUGUACCCAUGUAUGAUUUCAAUUAUUGAUGAUUGUAUGGGAUUCCUAAUGUUUUGGCUCAUUGUCCAUAGUUAUUCUGAUUCUGAUUCUGAUCGUAAUAUACGAUAUAUAUGUCUGGACCAAUACUGAGUUUCUGUUCUGAGUGUGCACACGAUAUUCUGAUUCUGUUUCUGGCCGGGUCACCGGGACUAUAGAUGACACUAUGUGACAUGAGCUAACCUUUUGUUUUCUGUAUAUGUAUUAUAUGAUUUGCUUCGUAAGUAAAUAUGCUUUUGGAUAUUCUGAAUUAUUAAGAAUUUAUGUUAUGUUAUCGUAAUAUAUCGUUUUAUGAAAUUUAUGGAUUAUGAUAUAUGUUUUAAACAAAAGAAGGCUUACAAUAUUUUUAGUAUCGAUAAGCCUAGUGUGUUAGGAAUGGUUUUACUUACCGAGUUGACGGCUCACCCCUCAUCAUUACUUUUUGUAGAUUAAGUUUCUUUUGAGAGGUGCACUUAGCUUUGGAGUUAGUAAUUUUUCGUUUCCGUUUGCCAUUUGAAUAAGAAGAGGAAUAGACUCGUGUUUCUAUUCAGUUUAUUUCCGUUAUGAACUUGUAAUUUAGAGUUUGAGACUUUUGUUAUUGUUAUGUUUUGGGCGAGAUUAUUUAGUGCUAGACGUUUGAAUUUGUGGAUUUAUUUAAAUAAGAAUUUGAGGUAUUUCAGUUCGGAACUUAUGAGUAAAGAUUAUGAUUUGUGAGUAACUUCCUUCUUCACGUGCUCCGCACGUGUUAGAUUUGGGGUGUUACAACAAUACCAGCAACGAUUUAUAUGAAUUUUUUAAAUUCAUAUAACCCAUCUGCAUCCAACUAAAAUUUUGCUUAGGAGGGAACUAAAUCCCAAGGGAAUUAGAGAGGCAAUCAAAACUUUUGCAUUAAACAAUGAAAAACAGUGGAGUAGAAGAAUAAGACAUUUCUGAAAAUUUUAACUCUUCUACGACAUAUCUAGAUGAUUUACAUCAAGAAAUUCUACAAAAUAUGCUCUGUUCCCUCACCUACAAGAAACAAUUACAAACAGAUAUCGACUCCCAACAGACAAAAAUGGAGCCAACAUAAAUGAUAAUAUAAUUAAUAAACCUUAAAAAUAACUACAAAACAAACCUCAUGUCUCUCAAUACACGAGAAAAUUUCAUAUAAAGCACUCUACUCAGCAAUCCUUUCAAACUUCAUUCUACCUUCAUCGAAGAUUGUCAUGUGCUUCCUCUUCUUAGAAAACUUAAUUGAAUUUUGAAACCCAUUUACCUCAUCGGUAAACUGAGCUGCAGUUCGAGCCCGCAAUUCUUCCAGACUCUCCCCUUCCUUUGCUCUCUCCAGCACCUGAAAUGUGGUGGCAAUUAUAGCUAUUAUCUGAUCAUGUGCAACGGAGAAUAUCUAUGAGAACUGGUAGACGGCUUACCAGAUGCCGACCAUAGAGAUGGGUAUUUGAAAGUGCUUCAAGUGCAUUUUGCCCCUCUUGCUUUGUUACAUACUCAACGAAUGCAAACCCCCUCUGAUAUUUCCAAACUUCAUUGGCAGCCUUGAGCUCUUAAUCUACAAAAAGAAAAUAUGAAAACAUAGAGUCAACACGAGAAAAAGCAUGUGCAGCAAGUUCAGAUUUAAGUCUUUCGGCAUCGCUGAAAUGAAUUUAAAGGCAGGUAAUACAUGAGAAGGGAUUAUACCUGUGCAUUAACAAUCUUGCAACAAAUUUAGAUAUUUAAUUGAAAACUUCCUAACGGAAUUCGAUUAUGCACUGCUUCUAUCAUCCUACAUAUAACAUUUAUUUUUGUCUUGUUAUCUGGUUAAUCAAACAAUAGUUUAAUAUUGAUGUAAUAUAGCAAUAACUCUUUCCAACUUGUCUUAAAUUCCGUAGUACUGUUCCUUCCUCUAUUUACUAUGCAUUUUUAAUAAAAUGCAUCAUUACUCAUCAAAAUAAAAUAAGCACCUGGCCAAAUGGUCUUCCAUUAUUUUCCAUUACUAUUGUUUUGCUAGUUACUUUUUUUUUUUUGACAAGAUCCUCCUACUGUAACCUGUUCUCAUUGUGGUUGUAUUGAUGGUUUAAAGAUUAUUUGAUUGUUAAAGUUUUAUCGUAAUUUAGUGAUCUGAAUUUUAUUACUAGAUUUGCAAAGAUAAAGAUGAAGCUGAGGUAUGGUUUAGUGGAUUAAAAGCAUUACUUUCACGUAGUCAUCAUCGAAAGUGGAGAACAGAAUCAAUGAGUGAUGGAAUUCCAUCAGAAGCAAAUAGUCCUAGAACAUACACUCGGAGAAGCCCUCCUUUGAAUACUCCAUUCGGUAGCAAUGAUAGCUUGCAGAAGGAGUAAUGAUUUAAAUAAUAUUUCUUUUUCCUUCAGUAAGACUGUAUUAUUGAAUGAUUCGUGUUUCGAUCAUACAAGAAGUUCUGCUAAGCUUCUGUUCAUGGGUCGAGAGUUGUAUCACAAGCAACAUCGUCAAUAUCAAGACGGCCCAGCCCACCUCGUUCAACAACACCGAUAACGAUAGCCUUAGCCAAGAUGUUAUUAAAUUAAGAGCACAGGUAUUUCCUAUUCUCUAGUUAGCGAUUACUUGAGUGAACUUUCUAAAAUUCUUGCACUAUGCAUUAAUAAUAGCUUGAGCAAAUAGAUGCUUUACAUGGUUAUCUGCUUGAUUAUUUAAAUUAAAUUUUAAUAGUAGUUUCAGAGCCAAAUUUCAUUAGCUAAGUAUACGUAGCAAUGCUCCUUAGUAUCCAGAAUUCAAGGAUCAUAGCCAUAUUUAAUGAGAUAUAACUCAACGCAAAGUUUGUCGAAAAUCCACAUGACGACCAAUGGAAAUAAGCAAAACGAAAAUAAAGCUCACAUGCAGUCAUUCCUUUCCAUUCAUUGCCUAUGGCAUUGCAAACUUAAUAGUUUCGGAAUUCAAUCUGUUUGACCUUCAUGAAAAUUGAAGGGCUAGAAGUUUGUGUAGAGAUCUUCUUUUCCCCUUCAAAUUUAUUAGUCCAAUUUCAACCCUUCAGGCACCUUUCUGGGUUUUAGAAGCCGCUACCUCAAGAAAAUGAUGAAUAGAUGGAAUCCAGACCUCAAGAUCCAAUCAGGUUUUAUUUAAUGCCUUAGAAUAUUGUUAUUUGCAUUUUGCAGCUAGUUAUUGAGCGUUAUAUCUAAGGCAGGCAGGCAGGUAAGUAAAAUCUUUAAAUUUUUUUUUCGAUAGCCAUAUUAAACUUUUCCUAUUUCUGUUUUGGCAGAAUGCUGAUUCCUCUCUAUCUCUCGCAGGUGGAGAAUCUUACUCGGAAAGCUCAACUUCAAGAAGUUGAGCUUGAAAGGACAACUAAACAGUUGAAGAAGGCAAUAGCAAUUGCAGGGGAAGAGACUGCAAAAUGCAGAGCAGCAAAGGAAGUGAAUAAGUCAUGACUUCCCAAGCAAGGCAGCUUUCUUUCUUCAUUAGUAUUAUGUCUCGUGGAAUUAUUUGUAAGUGGCUUCAAAAUAAGGAUCUAAUUAGCUCCUUUAUUCUGUUCUAAAUUCAUUUGCAAAAAGGUAUCUGCAGACCAUCUUGUUUGAUUCUAGAUGAUGAUUGGAUUCAUUAGUUUUACUGACUGUGCUUACACUUUAAUCACACUUUAUAUUGAUGAUGCCUUUAUUUUUCUUGUUGAAUAGUUGAAGGAUAUGGCUGAGAGACUGCCAGUUGGAACAGCACGGAAUAUCAAAUCACCGACAUUUACUUCCUUCAGUUCCAGUCCUGCUUCCAUAGGUGUGUCGAAUGCUUCAAUUGACCGCUAGGUGGUCAAACAGCAGCUCAAGAACCGGACACAGAUGGAUCAAACAACAUUUUGCUUGCUAAUGGGUCCAGCACUGCCAGUAAUCGUAGCUUCCAAACAAGGCCAGUUGGAAGCGACAGCUAGAAAUGGGAGCAGAACGAAAGAAUGUGAAUCACGAAUGACAAUGAAUGGGUUGAGCAAGAGGAGCCUGGUGUAUAUAUAACAUUUAACUCACCACCAGGAGGUCUCAGGGAUCUUAAAAGAGUUCGCUUCAGGUACGAUGUCUGACGUCCAGUUCUGUUAUUGUUCCUCUAUAAGCCUUUGUAUAUGUAGAUCAGGUUCUGAACCUACAACAACCAGCGACAAGAAAUGGCUUAGGUCCCAUUUAGUAUUUUUUGCGCCUUUUCCUUUAUUUUUAACCUUAAAAUAAUGGGCUCUCAAUUAUGAAAACUAGUACAGCAUAAAUGCUGAAUAACAACUUAAUUUAUCGACAAUGAGUUUAAAAUAAAUUCUAUGAUGAUGAUGAUGAUGAUGAUGAUGAUGAUGAUGAUUAUUAUUAUUAUUAAUAUUAGGGGUGUUUGCGGAUCUGAUUUUGCGGAUUGGGUAUCAAUCCAUAUCCGAUCCACAAUUUUGCUGAUUAUAAAUUUUUAAUCCAAUCUAAUCCACGGAUUGAUAAAAUUUAUUUCAAAUCCAAUCUAUACGUCUGCAGAUCGGAUGCAGAUUUGACUCAAUCCACAUCUGAUCCACCAUUUUGCGAAUUGGUUUGUGGGCUAAAUUUUAUAAUCAUGUCCUAUCCACAAACUAACUAAAUAAAAAAAUUAAUAUAAAAAUAAUUUUACUACCGAUCAAAUUCAAAAUUAAAUAAGAUUUAAAUAAGUUAAUUAUUUAAAUAAAGGUAGAAAAUACAUUCAAAGUUUCGAAAUAUAACAUACCAAAAAGAAAAAAUUCUCAUUUGUAUAGAUUAGUACAUGAAAAUUAACUGCUUAGGAAGCUAUAUUUUUAUUUAAUUAUUUUUAUUUUAUAUAUUAUCAAAUAAGACAUAAUAUGGUGUUAAUAUAACUAUAUUUUAACUUAUUUAUUUAUUAGUAAGUAUAAUGCCAUAUUUACAAGUUCAAUUUUUUUAUAAAAUAAAUAUUUUUAUUUUUUUCAGAUUCGUAAAUUUUUACGGAUUCACAAAAGUAAAUCCAUAUCCAAUCCACCGAUUGUGGAUUUUCAAAUUUUUAAUCCAAUCCAAUUCACGGAUCGGAUUUUUAUGGAUCGCAUUUCUAUAGAUCAGACAAAUUGAACGGAUCGGAUUAGAUUCUAAACACCCCUAAUUAUUAUUAUUAUUAUUAUUAUUAUUAUUAACAAUAUUCCAAUUUUAAGACAAAAAUAAGUACAUUGAUGACAAUCCAAGUCAUUUCGAUUUUGAUUCCUACUGGUUUAUUUUUAUUCUCAUUCCUCAUUUAGAUUCCAACCUAUUCUAGUUGGCAAUUAGUAAAUGCACCAUAAUAGUGAAAUGUAUAUUUAAAUUUCUGUUCCUUUUUUAGUUUUUGCUUGUAUACUUUAACUACCAAAUUUCAUUAGGUUAUUACAUUGAUGUUUACUAAGGUCUGUUUAGACACAUGGAAUUUCUAAUUUCAUUUUGAACUAAGAUUUUCUACUCAUCUUAGCUUUCAGAAUAAUAAUAUGCUUAUAAAGUUGGAAUACAAAGUUUGCAUUCUAGAUGAUGUAAAACUUAACAUGUCAUUUAUUCAUUAGUGCUGCAAAUACCAAAUACAUGAUGGUCAACUGUUGGUAACACGUUAUUUAAUAUACAAACUUCAAGUAUAUCAUUAUUAUGAAAAUAUAUAUUUGAAUCAUAAAUGACUAAUAACGUAUACGUGGCAUAUUAAAAAGUUAAGGUAAUGGGUACAUUAUUUAGUUUUAGACAUAACUUGAGAGGACGCAUAACUUGCAUUAUUGGUUUAUAAUCAAAAUAAGCUACUACGUAAACUGAGGAGAUAUAUCCCUUAAAGCUUGCUGAAAAUCUGAGUCUGGUUAAUGUUGCAUAAAUCCUUCACAGAUCCUUGAAUCAUCAACCCCUUUAGCUCUUCUUGAAGCCUUUCCAUAGCUGACUGCGGCAAGCAUAUUGGUACAAGAAUUCCAGGCUCUCCAUUCUUGUUUUGGUACUUUGUAAAGAAGCUGAUCACUGCUACAGCGCCAGCAGUUCCAGCAUAAAUUGGUUUCCCCCACCCAAAAUCAACAUCUCCUAGUCCAACAUUCCUUAGAUCCGAAACAAUGAAAUUUCCCCUAGUCGAGAACUUGAUUCGUCGCCCUUUGAUCACCAUAAGAUCCGCCGCAGACCUUAUAUACUCUUCGUUCAUUUGAGCCUUCGCCUUUUUCACCAAUUCAACGGCGUAUCCUAUUGGAUUCUUACACAAUUGUUCAGCUUUUGAACAUACAGCCGAAAAUGUAAAUGCAUUGCCACAAUAGCCUGGAGGAAUAUCCAUUUCAUAACUUUUUCCUCGUACGUUAACGAUACAACAAACUUUAGCAAUCUCUUCAGGUUGUAGCUUGAGUGCAAUUGUUCGACAUUUCCAUAGAAACGCUAAUAAUAGCUCAAACGUUGAGCAAUCUUUAAGGUGAAAAGGAAGCUGAUUUCUCAGAGCUUUGAUCCCUUUGAGGCUAAAGAAGAACGAUUUGUGAGCCAUGUUGUCACUUGGAACCUCAUUGGUGUUUAUUUCAUCGUACUCAUGGUGGAUACAUGUUACUUGUGGGGGAUUUCUGGCA